rfam:Coccidioides immitis RMSCC 3703 supercont1.259 genomic scaffold, whole genome shotgun sequence.
GCGCUGGUAGUCAAUGGGUUAAGAUCCAGCAUUCCCAAUGCUGGGGACCGGGUUCGAGUCCCGGCCGGCGCA